rnacentral:rRNA from 1 species
GACAGAGGGUGCAAACGUUGUUCGGAUUUACUGGGCGUAAAGGGCGCGUAGGCGGCAAUUCAAGUCAGCUGUGAAAUCUCCGAGCUUAACUCGGAACGGUCAGCUGAUACUGUUUUGCUAGAGUACAGAAGGAGCAAUCGGAAUUCUUGGUGUAGCGGUGAAAUGCGUAGAUAUCAAGAGGAACACCUGAGGUGAAGACGGGUUGCUGGGCUGAUACUGACGCUGAGGAACGAAAGCCAGGGGAGCGAACGGG